rnacentral:lncRNA from 1 species
UUGUCAUGUCACUGAAGAUAAUGGGGCAUUUACUAUUUAGAGCCCCUUUAAUGGCUUCCAAAUGCAAUAAGAGACCUAUCAUCUUCUAAAUUAAAGGAAAUGAUAGACAUGGAAACCCAAAAGGAUUCUCUCUUUGUUUCCUAGGGAGAGCUAUCCAAUUUGUUCUGUAAAACCACAUAUUAAAAAGAGAUAAAGAAAUAUAUCAGUAAAUGGAUGGAUCAAUUGAUGACAUAGAGCGAGGGAGAGUCGAUGCCUUUAUUUGUGAUUUAUACUCCUAGUAGAGAGAUGGCACUUCCCAAAUUUGUAAAAUAUGCUUGUACUAUCAGUUGUAUGAGCUAAUCCUCUUUGAUAGCCGUUUCUUUUUUACGGUAAUUUAUGCAAGCAUGCAAUUAGGUUUUAGUAUCUAAGGGUUUGUUUGGUACUGUUUUUCUUUCUUGUUUCUGUAUUUUUAAACAGAUUUACGGAAUCCAAUGCAGAAAAUAUGUUUGGUUAUAAUGUUUCUGUUGUUUUCUUAAACAACUUAAAUUAUUAUUUCUGGAAAAAGUGAGAGUCAAAAAUUUUUACUUCCAGUUUUUCAGAAGUGUAUUUUUACCCUUCUCCUCUCAAUCCCUCUUCCUCCGCCCAAUCUUGCCCUCAGCCCCAUCACCCCCGCCCAACCACAUUGGCUCCUUGGGCCUCGCCAGCCAUCUCUCCACACAAUGCCGAGCUAUCCCUUGUCCCUGACUGUCAUUGUGAAAAAAAAGGGGGCGGACCAAACAUGUUUUCUGUUUUCAAAUAUCUGGAAAAACUAAAAACAGAAUUCCUGUUUCCAGAUUUUUUUUAAAAAAGAAAAGUGACAGCGAUGCCAAAUGUAGCCUAAGUUAUUUUAUAUUUUUUUAUCAUCAUUCCACCCA